GCCCGAGUGCAGGCUUCUGGGGGUCCUCCUAGAAGUUGCAGAGGAGAAUCCUAAGGAGAGUAAACCCCAAGCAGGCACUGCCCGCCCACAGGAUGUGAACCGCAGAGACCAACAGAGGAAUCCAGGCACCUCUACCACGCCCUCCCAGCCCAAUUCUGUGGGUGUCCAAGACACUGAGAUGGGCCCAUGCCGUAGACAUCUGGACUCAGUGCUGCAGCAACUCCAGACUGAGGUCUACCGAGGGGCUCAAACACUCUAUGUGCCCAAUUGUGAUCAUCGAGGCUUCUACCGGAAGCGGCAGUGCCGCUCCUCCCAGGGGCAGCGCCGAGGUCCCUGCUGGUGUGUGGAUCGGAUGGGCAAGUCCCUGCCAGGGUCUCCAGAUGGCAAUGGAAGCUCCUCCUGCCCCACUGGGAGUAGCGGCUAAAGCUGAGGUAUAGAGGGGCUGCAGGGCCACUGGAAGGAACGUGGAGCUGUCAUCACUCAACAAAAAUCCCGAGGCCCUCGAUCCACCUUCAGGCCCUGCCCCAUGGGCCCCUCACCCCUGGGCCUUUACACAUGCGGUUGGAAAGAGUGUUGGUGUUGGCUGGGGUGUCAAUAAAGCUGUGCUUGGGGUC
rnacentral:sRNA from 1 species